rnacentral:rRNA from 1 species
GACGAGCGCUGGCGGCGUGCUUAACACAUGCCAGUCGAACGGAAAGGCCCUGCUUUUGUGGGGUGCUCGAGUGGCGAACGGGUGAGUAACACGUGAGUAACCUGCCCUUGACUUUGGGAUAACUUCAGGAAACUGGGGCUAAUACCGGAUAGGAGCUCCUGCUGCAUGGUGGGGGUUGGAAAGUUUCGGCGGUUGGGGAUGGACUCGCGGCUUAUCAGCUUGUUGGUGGGGUAGUGGCUUACCAAGGCUUUGACGGGUAGCCGGCCUGAGAGGGUGACCGGCCACAUUGGGACUGAGAUACGGCCCAGAAUCCUACGGGAGGCAGCAGUGGGGAAUAUUGCACAAUGGGCGGAAGCCUGAUGCAGCAACGCCGCGUGCGGGAUGACGGCCUUCGGGUUGUAAACCGCUUUCGCCUGUGACGAAGCGUGAGUGACGGUAAUGGGUAAAGAAGCACCGGCUAACUACGUG